rnacentral:lncRNA from 1 species
AUGGUUUUGAGUUCUGGGACUUGAAAUCAUCUUCAUAGGGUGCCCAACCAUUCCAGGUAGCCUGAGACCUAGGGAUUCCCACAAUGUGGGACUUUUUGGGGGAAAAUCCAGGCAAACUAGGGUAGUCAUUAGGUCACUCAAUCUUCACACUAUCCAGAUCUUAUUCUGAUACAUAACACCGAUUAGAGGUACUCAAGAGGGUUCUUUUUGAUAAGCACUAAUGAAUAGGUCAAUUGGUAACUGUAAUGGUAGGCAUAUACCAGACUUUUUCCUUUUCUUCGGAAAAGGCAGCAGCAUAGUUUUAACAAUAACGUGCUCAAAAAAUACCUUAUUUUUGACUAAGUCUUCCAUCAGUUCUAUUCUAGCUGCCCUAUGGGAUUAUGGGGGAAACUCCAAAAUGAGAGGACUGUGGCUUCUCUUGUGGGUCACAGUUACCCAGCAACAAAGUAAAGGCAGUUAUUUAUAAGUGGUAUUAAAGAUAGAAAGUAUAAUGUAUUAUUUUUUUAGAGUUUUGGUUCUUUUCCCAGAAGAGGAAAAUACCACAGGAUGAUAUUUUCAAGCACAAUCAAGGUUUGUGCCUAUCAACCCCAGUUCUAAUUAUAGACAGAGACCACCUAAGAUUAAUUUUCAAGAGUUUCAAGAAGAGAUUUUUCAUGAAACCCAAAAUUUCAUAGUUGGAUGAAGUCUCAAAGAGCAUGUCCAGGGUUUCCAUUUUCAGAUGAAGAAAUUGAGGCCUCAGAAAGGCUUUCUGACUUUCCUAAAGUCUCUCGACUAGGUCUCAGCAGAGCCCUCAACAUAGGAAAGAAUGUCUUUGACAAAUGCACAUUGAUCCUAGGACAAAUAUUCUCAUUCUACAGCCAUCUGAACCCACCUGUCUUCAGCUCAUCUUCAUCUGAUGCUCAUCCACCAAGUCAUUUCUGUUGGGCCCAGAGUGUGGCUCGGUGGUAGAAGCCCUUGCCUGGCAUGGGUGAGGCCUUGGGUUUGAUUCCUAGCACUCCAAGUGGAUUCUGCCAAAAUAUUCUUUAAAUGAAGUGUAUUACGUCCUCAUUCACAUUUUUGUCAUUCCCAUUGCGCAGAUGGAAGCCCCAACUCCAGUAAGCUGCAUAGAAAACUCUCCAUGACUAGGCUUUGAGCGGCCUCCUCAACCUCCUCACUGUUUACUUUUUCUGACAACCAGCCUGCUCUCCAUUCUCUGACUACAACCUGCUUGCUGUUGUGGCUGUGUCUGCAUUGUCUACUUCUGGUGGUUUUCUUUAAUCCUGCUUGUGUUGAACUAUACCUAAUCCUUUGUUUUCCUUUUGCUUAUUCCUCUGUAACAGUACUGGAGGGGAGUAGACCCCUGCAUUCAAAUCUCAGUUCCACAGUUUUAGUUUUGUGACCUUCAGGCAAAUCAUUUAACCAAGGUCUGUGAGCCUUGGUUUUUUUAUCUAUACAAUGGGGCUAAUAACCAUACCUACUUAUGGGGCUAUUGUUUGUUUAAAUGAGACCAAGUGCCAGGUACAGAGUAAGCAUUCAAAUGUUGGUUGCUGCUAUUAUCACUAAAACAUUUUUUUUAACUAGAUUAUAAACUCUAGAAUGCAAGGAAUAUGGCUUUCUCAUGUUCCUGAGAGACCUGGCACAAUGCUUUACCUAUGAAAUUGAAUUAUCAAGAUUAAAUUCAGGGGCUGAGGUUGUUGGUCAAUAGUAGAGUGCUUGCCUAGCAUGUGUUAGGCACUGUGUUCGAUUCUCAGCACCUCAUACAAAUAAAUAAAAAUAAAGUUCCAUUGACAACUAAAGCAAAAAAAAAUAUAUAUAUAUAUAUAUGUAAUAUAAAUUCAGGGAUAGAUUAUAAAGGAAAUUUAUGAAACCAUAUUUCCUGAAAAUUUAAAAGACCCAGUUACCUAUUUGCUAGAAUUAUUUCAGUAAAAUUCUUCCUGAAGGCAGAGGCUGGUCUAGAUCUAGUGUAGUUACUUUAUCAGUGGGUAUGUCCCCAUUUAAUAUGUCAGUUUCAUUGAUCUCAGGAUUUCCUUGUGGACUCAAGAUUCUUACUGAACUCGGCUCUCACAUUGCUGCUGAUACAAACAGGAACAGGAUGAUGCAAGUGUCCUGUUGAUCUUGAGAGAACUCUCUGGAGGCUUCUUCAAGCUUGUGGGUUCUCUGCUGUCUCGAAGCCCUACAUUUGGUAUGUUUUGCAAAGAUUUGGUCUUGCCAAGAUGUUCUUAAUUAUUUCUGCUAAAAGGAAUAGAUUCAAGAGUUUGAUUUCAUUUCGAUGUGGUUUUCUCCAAUUGACCAUUUUAAGGUAUUUUAAUAAAUAUUGCCAGUGAUAUGUGGUCACUAUUAAAUCACUCUCCAUUUGUUAUCUGUCAGGGCAAGUCAGUAAAAUAAAUGCCAUGUACUGACUCUGGCACCCUUUCUCGUGUUUAAAUAUUUAAAACUGUCUAAGACAACUCACAUAUGUUCUUUAAAAAUUAAAACUUUUUCUUUUGUGUUGCUGUGUUUUCUGUGGCCAAUGCAAAUACACUGGAAGAACAACAACAACAAAAAUCUUUUCUUAUCCAUAAUUGCUCUAGGGUAAAAAAAAAAAUGAAUCUACACAUCUAAAAAAGAUUUG